UGAAUAGUGCUGAUCGAUCAUGUGAGUAAGAAUGUUAAUGCGGUUUAAUCGGUUUUCAAGUGUGUGUAUUAUAUUAGAUGAUAGAGGUGCAGCCUUUACAAGGAUGGUCAAAGAUUCUGUCCCAUUGGGAAUGCUGAGCUGGACGUGGACCACAGUGGCUGACGACUCUACGAAGUAUACGAAAAUCAAUAUAGAAGUUUACCCUGAAAAUUAGUACCUUUGGCUCCUUAAAGUGCCGCUUCUUGCCAUACGUUGAUUUGAUUCCAGUGUGCGCCUAUCUUUACGCACAAAAAGUGAGAGGCAUUUCAAUCUGCAGUCGCCAUUUUAUUUGUCACGUCUUGUUUGACACCAAUGCUAUUAUUAUACAAAAUGCUUGAAUAAUCUAUUGUAUUCAACUUGAAUAAUUUGCAAUCAUACGUCGUAACGGCAAAAAUCUGAUUAUUAUAAUUCGUAAAUCUAUUGAGGUAAUGGUGUAGCGAAGUGAAUUUUUUACUGGUUUUAAAAUAAUGUACUAACUCCCGCUUUAUUAUUUACUAUUUUAUGUUUAUAAAGUGCAUGUUUUAAAGAAAA